GGAACGAGUUAUCUGAACCUUCGGGGAACGAUAACGGCGUCGAGCGGCGGACGGGUGAGUAAUGCCUAGGAAAUUGCCCUGGUGUGGGGGAUAACCAUUGGAAACGAUGGCUAAUACCGCAUAAUACCUUCGGGUCAAAGAGGGGGACCUUCGGGCCUCUCGCGUCAGGAUAUGCCUAGGUGGGAUUAGCUAGUUGGUGAGGUAAUGGCUCACCAAGGCGACGAUCCCUAGCUGGUCUGAGAGGAUGAUCAGCCACACUGGAACUGAGACACGGUCCAGACUCCUACGGGAGGCAGCAGUGGGGAAUAUUGCACAAUGGGCGCAAGCCUGAUGCAGCCAUGCCGCGUGUGUGAAGAAGGCCUUCGGGUUGUAAAGCACUUUCAGUCGUGAGGAAGGUAGUGUAGUUAAUAGCUGCAUUAUUUGACGUUAGCGACAGAAGAAGCACCGGCUAACUCCGUGCCAGCAGCCGCGGUAAUACGGAGGGUGCGAGCGUUAAUCGGAAUUACUGGGCGUAAAGCGCAUGCAGGUGGUUUGUUAAGUCAGAUGUGAAAGCCCGGGGCUCAACCUCGGAAUAGCAUUUGAAACUGGCAGACUAGAGUACUGUAGAGGGGGGGUAGAAUUUUCAGGUGUAGCGGUGAAAUGCGUAGAGAUCUGAAGGAAUACCGGUGGCGAAGGCGGCCCCCUGGACAGAUACUGACACUCAGAUGCGAAAGCGUGGGGAGCAAACAGGAUUAGAUACCCUGGUAGUCCACGCCGUAAACGAUGUCUACUUGGAGGUUGUGGCCUUGAGCCGUGGCUUUCGGAGCUAACGCGUUAAGUAGACCGCCUGGGGAGUACGGUCGCAAGAUUAAAACUCAAAUGAAUUGACGGGGGCCCGCACAAGCGGUGGAGCAUGUGGUUUAAUUCGAUGCAACGCGAAGAACCUUACCUACUCUUGACAUCCAGAGAACUUUCCAGAGAUGGAUUGGUGCCUUCGGGAACUCUGAGACAGGUGCUGCAUGGCUGUCGUCAGCUCGUGUUGUGAAAUGUUGGGUUAAGUCCCGCAACGAGCGCAACCCUCAUCCUUGUUUGCCAGCACUUCGGGUGGGAACUCCAGGGA
rnacentral:rRNA from 1 species